AGUCAAUCCAGAAGGAAGAAGAGUUUAUUCUCUCACAACACCUCCAAACAAUUUUUUAAAAUCAAAUAUUAGACAUAUUAGAAAAGUUCAGGCAUCAAUCAAAGAAGAAACAAAUAAACAUAACGCCAGUUUGGUGGAAAAACCUUUAUGGAAAAUGACACAAUUUAAAAAUAUACAAUCCAAAGUUGGUCAGUCACUUCAAUCAAACAGAAACAGUGGAGAAAAUAAUCCAAAAAAAUAUUUAACUGCACAUUCACGUACUGGAUUUAUUCCAACUCCAAAUACAAAUAUGGACUUUUCAAUGAUCAAUCCUGAGAAAUUAAGUAUUCCAAAGGCAAGCGAGAUAGCA